UGAUAAAGCCCAGCUGGGAAGGAGAUAGAGUCAGCAGGUGGGAAAGUUCUCUCAGCAGGGAGGCCUAGGAGAGAUCCUGAAUAACCAGGAAAGUUACUGGAAGACCAAAGGGCUGGGAAUAUAAGGAGAGGUAGCAAGUGACCUGGGAAAAACAAAGCACAAGUAAAGGAGCAGAGCUAGCUUCCUGGUGUAGGGCUCUAGGCCAGAGCCUAGAGUUGCAGGUGGGACUGGGUUCCUCUACCCGCCCCAAGGAAGGGGGCCUACAAGCCCACUGUAAGGGUUCUGAAGCCUAGCAAGGGGGCUGUAGGCUAAGCCAAAGGCAGGAUGAGGCAGGGCCCCAGAGAGGGUGGAAGAAUUUCUUUUCUGUUAAAGACAUCUUUGGACUCUUAGUUUGGACAGUGGUGACCCUUGAAGGGGUGCAGGGCUGACAGAAAAAGCAAGUGAGCACUCUCCUAACAAGAGGCAGGCAGCUCUCGCCUAACGAGAGAGUUGUGAUGCUACAGGGGUUGCGUAGCGGUUCUCUCUGUUACAAGCCCUCAGUUACUGAUCAAUCUGGAAGGUGUUUUAAAAUAGUGUUUUAAUUAUAUAGUUUGUGUGGUCAACAAGCUUAUUCGUUACAUGUAGAGUCUAAGGUUUUUGCUGUACAGCUGAAUUACUGUAAUCAUACAGUUAAUAAUUAGCAUUGUAAAACUUCAUCAAAAAUCAGUUUUGGGUGGGACAAUCUCUCCGUCAGGAUAUGUCCUGUUUCAGUUGACUCACUGAAUUAUUAUAAAUACUCUGGUUUGAAACGACACAAAAAUCCGUCUGCAUUCUGAUGGAAAACAUGUUCUUCCAGUGGCAGGUGAGAACCUUACUUGGUGAGAAAAUCACACAGAUGGAGCAGUGUGCAUCCCACUUUCCCUAGCCAGGAGAACAGUUCCAUGAUCCGACUGCCAAUAUACAUCCUACGGCAGUUACAUUGGCCACAAGCACAUGGUACAUGCCCAUAGGCAGGAUUUGGCCCUAAAGAAAUGCACCAAGGAACACAAACUAUUUGUGCUUCCUGCCUCUGCCAGACCCACAGGAAGUUUGUCAUUAAUAAAGAUACAAGCAAGGAAUUCCAAACUCUUGGAGUCCUAGAGAAUUCCUGAAGCCUCUGGAAGCCUUCCUUUCUAAUGACUUCACUAUGGCUCCCACUUGGAUGCUUGCUUCCUUGCUUUCCAAACAAUAAGUGUUUAUUGAAUUGAGUAUGAAAAGCUUUCUGGGGGUUGAUCCUGCACCAUACAAGUUAAUGGGAAAUUACCCAUACACUUGAAUAGGAGCGGGACCAAGCUUUGGCUAACUAACUUGUUCUGAUCACUACCAAAUCUGCGUGCACUUGCAAGAUCUGCUGAAUUGACAACUUUGAAAAAUAGAGUACAGUCUGUGCAAGUUUCCCAAACUGCCCCCUCAGCGGGCCUGUACCUGACCUAGAGGGGCAAUCUCUAGGGGUAAGAGAACAGGUCAUUCUCCAUUGACACCUUGGCAUCACUGAUGACACUGUCCAUGAAGAUGCCAGUUCUUGAGCUGGUUUAUGUGCUGGGGCCAUCAGUCCACUAGCAACAGCACUGAGAUCACUAACUCAGAAACGCCACAAAACAGCUGUCAAAUGCUAACAACUUUCAGUCAUAAAACUUAGGCCAGAUCAGAGCCAGUGACCUAGAAGUGAAAAGCAUCAUAUCUCUUUAUUAUCCAGUCUGUCUUUUGGCUUGUUGAAAAUAUUUUCAUACAGUCAUUUGAAUGGAUGUUUGCUCUAAUACUGAACUCAUUGUUUAUUUGGACAAUACAGCAGUAAUUUUGACCUUAUCCAUAGAGUAAAACACAGAUGCAGGAGUCCUUCAGUGUUUUCCCCCAGAAAACACUGAACUAUUUUAAUUUUUCAGCGAACUUUUUCUUGCUAAAUCAUGUAACAGUCACGUGAUGUCAUCCAAUGUAUUAGCCUCUAAGGUAAGGCUAAAUGUCGUCUUUAGUGUGUAAUCUGCUCUGUUUUUAAAAACUCCAGCACUGUUGUUUGUGUCAACACUGACAUCUUCUGGUUGCAUGUGAAACUUUACUGAAGGAAUAUUUUUUUCUUAAGCAAGGCCAGUAUCCCAGAUGCAGAAGACAACAGAAUUUUGAAUAGUAAGAAACUAUAAUUGUUUUAUCUAAUCCUGCCAGUGUCUCGUGUUAUUUCAGGAAAAUAGAGCUUUGAGCUGAGGAGAUUAGUUGGUUUGAAAUACUUUAUUGCACUGCUCAAAAGAUAUUCUUUAGAUUUUUAAGGCCCAAGGGGACCAUUUAAGAUCAUCUAGUCAUACCACCUGUAUAAUGUAGGUCACAAAACUUCACCAGUUACCCUGUAUUGAGCUCAAUAACUUGUCUGACUAAAGCAUGUCCUCUAGAAAGGCAUGUUCAUACCUCAAAAGCAUUUCCACAGAAUAUGAUAAAAUAGGCCUAGUAGCAGAGCUGGGCAGAGGAUGGAAAUUCCACUUUGCAAAGGGAGCUGGGGAUUUUGAAAAUUUGACUUCAUUUCAAAUUGGAACAAAACCUGAAUAUUU